GACGAACGCUGGCGGCGUGCUUAACACAUGCAAGUCGAGCGGAGCGUCGAACGGGUGAGUAACGCGUGAAUAACUGCCCCCCUCUCUGGGAUAACAGUUGGAAACGGCUGCUAAUAACGGAUAGUGGGGGAUGACUAGGGUCCGAUCAGCUUGUUGGUGGGGUAGUGGCCUACCAAGGCGACGACGGGUAGCCGGCCUGGGUGGGCGCCCGGCAACAGUGGGCGUAAAUACGGCCCAAACUCUUACGGGACGCAGCAGUGGGGAAUAUAGCACAAUGGGGGAAACCCUGAUGCAGAAACGCCGCGUGCGGGAUGACGGCCUUCGCGUUGUAAACCGCUUUCAGCCAUGACGCGGUAGUGGCAGAAGAAGCACCGGCUAACUACGUGCCAGCAGCCGCGGUAAUAC
rnacentral:rRNA from 1 species